UUCUUUAAGUCUUAAUUUAAAGUAAAACCUGCUCAAUGAAAUUAAUCAAUAGCCGCAGUUAACUGUGCUAAGGUAGCAUAAUCAUUAGCUUUUUAAAUGAAAGAUAGAAUGAAUGGUAAUAUGAAUAAUAAUAUGUCUCUAAAAUUUUUUAUAAAUUUAAAAUAAAAGUCAAAAUUCUUUUAAAAAUAAGAAAGACGAUAAGACCCUAAUAAACUUUAUAUUUAGCUGGGGCGGCAAUUUAAAAAAACCUUAAAAUAAAUUUACAUAAACUCUAAUUUAAUUAAUUAAUUAAGUUACUAUAGGGAUAACAGCGCAAUCUUUUUCUAAAGUUCUAAUAAAAAAAAAGACUUACGACCUCGAUGUUGAAUUAAUAUUCUUUAAAAUUAACGCAAAAGUUAUAAAAGAUAGUCUGUUCGACUAUUAAAUAAUU
rnacentral:rRNA from 1 species